GCCGAUGUCUGUGAGAUCGGGACAUCCUUAGCCAUGAUAUUAAUUUAUUUCCAAUAUUUAAGUGAACUCUGAUUUGCAGUGGAUAUUGUCCUAAUGUGCUGAAUUGUUUUGUAUUGUGUUUCAAGUUGGUGGAAUCCGUUCUUACCAACAUACCUGGUGGGGAACGUGUAAUAAAUGAAUACAACCGAACCAAAUCCUUGAUGGAUGAAACCAGACGAAAAAUGGUGAACAUACUGGCAGCUGACAUGACAGAAAAGAAUGGUACAUCCCCACCCAGACAAGUGAAAGAAAAGUACGCCAGAGGAAUAGUGACCUUAUUCCCCUACCUCAGUGACCCAUUCUCUAAGAAUGGCUAUGAGCACUAUUAUGAUGGUGAGAGUGGAACUGGGCACUUGGCCUGAAGGAUUAAAACUAUUCAGAGAGGCACCGCUAAAGACAGGCGAUCGUUGUUUGGAGGUAAUACUGAAAAAAUGUAUGGAACAAAACAGUCGCAAGAUCAGUUAUUGCAUUUGUUGUGCAUAAUGUUUUUCAGUAAAAUAAUUUUCCUUGAAGUCUAGCUACACCCUUCAAUUCCUCUGACUUUGUCUACAGGCUGGCACGGCAAAUUUUAGGGUGAUUCAAAACAGCAGACAUUUUGAGCCAUUUUCAAGGCACAAAAUAAUAGUAAUUAUCAUAAAUUGUGAAGAAAAAAAUG